GUAUGUGAGGGCAAUCUGGCUGUGAGAUCUGUCACCUCAUGGGUUUCCAGGGCUGAUGUGGCUGAUCUGGCUGCCUAGGUGAGUGUCCCUUCCUCUUUUCACCACUCCAUGUGCAUCCUUCCCAUAGCUGCGUGCUUGGUCUAAGAGGAUGACCUUCUCUUUUUUUUUUUUAAGAUUUCAUUUAUUUAUUUGACAGAGAGAGAGAGACAGCCAGCGAGAGAGGGAACACAAGUAGGGGGAGUGAGAGAGGAAGAACCAGGCUCCCAGCGGAGCAGGGAGCCCAAUGCGGGGCUCCAUCCCAGGACUC
rnacentral:snRNA from 14 species